GAUGAAGAACGUAGCGAAAUGCGAUAAGUAAUGUGAAUUGCAGAAUUCAGUGAAUCAUCGAAUCUUUGAACGCACAUUGCGCCCCCCAGUAUUCUGGCGGGCAUGCCUGUUCGAGCGUCAUUUCAACCAUCAAGCCCUGCUUGUGUUGGGGUCCUGCGGCUGCCCGCAGGCCCUGAAAACCAGUGGCGGGCUCGCUAGUCACACCGAGCGCAGUAGCACAUCUCGCUCAGGGCGUGCGGCGGGCUCCAGCCGUUAAGCACCCACCUUUCGCAAGGUUGACCUCGGAUCAGGUAGGAAUACCCGCUGAACUUUAGCAUAUCAAUAAGCGGAGGA
rnacentral:misc_RNA from 1 species